UCCGUUUGCAGCAAUGUAAACGGGUGGGAGCGGCGUAAGGGUGCGUAACGCGUGGGUAAUUCGCCGUGAAGUUGGGAAUAACUCGCUGAAAGGCGAGCUAAUGCCGAAUGUGGUUGGCCGGUGGCAUCACCGGGCGACCAAAGUUGGGGACCGAAAGGCCUGACGCUUCACGAUAAGCCCGCGACCUAUCAGCUAGUUGGUGAGGUAACGGCCCACCAAGGCGAAGACGGGUAGCUGGUCUGAGAGGACGACCAGCCACACUGGAACUGAGACACGGUCCAGACACCUACGGGUGGCAGCAGUCGAGAAUUUUUCACAAUGGGCGCAAGCCUGAUGGAGCGACGCCGCGUGGGGGAUGAAGGGCUUCGGUCCGUAAACCCCUGUCAUUUGCGAACAAACCUCUCCUGUGAAGAGCAGGAGAGCUGAUGGUAGCGAAAGAGGAAGGGACGGCUAACUCUGUGCCAGCAGCCGCGGUAAUACAGAGGUCCCGAGCGUUGUUCGGAUUCACUGGGCGUAAAGGGUGCGUAGGUGGUGAGGUAAGUCGGAUGUGAAAGCUCGGAGCUCAACUCCGAAAUGGCAUUGGAAACUACCUUGCUGGAGGGUUGGAGGGGGGACUGGAAUUCACGGUGUAGCA
rnacentral:rRNA from 1 species